rnacentral:rRNA from 1 species
CGGGGAGGCGGCAAAUAUCCUUUGAUCCGGAGAUGUCUGAAUGGGGGAACCCACCUACUUUAAGGUAGGUAUUGCAACAUGAAUACAUAGUGUUGCAAGGCGAACGAGGGGAAGUGAAACAUCUCAGUACCCUUAGGAAAAGAAAUCAAUUGAGAUUCCCUCAGUAGCGGCGAGCGAACGGGGAUCAGCCCAUUAAGUUAUGUGUGUUUUAGUGGAACGCUCUGGGAAGUGCGAACGUAGAGGGUGAUAUUCCCGUACACGAAAGGGCACACAUAAUGAUGACGAGUAGGGCGAGGCACGUGAAACCUUGUCUGAAUAUGGGGGGACCAUCCUCCAAGGCUAAAUACUCCUGACUGACCGAUAGUGAACCAGUACCGUGAGGGAAAGGCGAAAAGAACCCCUGUGAGGGGAGUGAAAUAGAUCCUGAAACCGCAUGCAUACAAGCAGUGGGAGCACCUUCGUGGUGUGACUGCGUACCUUUUGUAUAAUGGGU